rnacentral:rRNA from 1 species
GAUGAACGCUAGCGACAGGCUUAACACAUGCAAGUCGAGGGGCAGCAUGGGAGGUGGCGACACCACCCGAUGGCGACCGGCGCACGGGUGCGUAACACGUAUCCAAUCUACCCAUGGCUCAGGGAUAGCCUUUCGAAAGAAAGAUUAAUACCUGAUGGUUUCGUUUUUUCGCAUGAGAAGAUGAAUAAAGAUUUAUCGGCGAUGGAUGAGGAUGCGUCCGAUUAGAUAGUAGGCGGGGUAACGGCCCACCUAGUCGACGAUCGGUAGGGGCUCUGAGAGGAGGAUCCCCCACAUUGGAACUGAGACACGGUCCAAACUCCUACGGGAGGCAGCAGUGAGGAAUAUUGGUCAAUGGGCGAGAGCCUGAACCAGCCAAGUAGCGUGAGGGAUGACUGCCCUAUGGGUUGUAAACCUCUUUUGUUUGGGAAUAAAGUGAGCCACGUGUGGCUUUUUGUAUGUACCUUACGAAUAAGCAUCGGCUAAUUCCGUGCCAGCAGCCGCGGUAAUACGGAAGAUGCGAGCGUUAUCCGGAUUUAUUGGGUUUAAAGGGAGCGUAGGCGGGCCUUUAAGCCAGCGGUCAAAUGUCAGGGCCCAACCUUGGCAUGCCGUUGGAACUGGGGGUCUUGAAUACACACAAGGAAGGUGGAAUUCGUCGUGUAGCGGUGAAAUGCUUAGAUAUGACGAAGAACUCCGAUUGCGAAGGCAGCCUUCUGGGGUGCGAUUGACGCUGAGGCCC